UGGGGAAUAUUGGACAAUGGGCGAAAGCCUGAUCCAGCCAUGCCGCGUGUGUGAAGAAGGUCUUCGGAUUGUAAAGCACUUUAAGUUGGGAGGAAGGGCAGUAAAUUAAUACUUUGCUGUUUUGACGUUACCGACAGAAUAAGCACCGGCUAACUCUGUGCCAGCAGCCGCGGUAAUACAGAGGGUGCAAGCGUUAAUCGGAAUUACUGGACGUAAAGCGCGCGUAGGUGGUUCGUUAAGUUGGAUGUGAAAUCCCCGGGCUCAACCUGGGAACUGCAUUCAAAACUGACGAGCUAGAGUAUGGUAGAGGGUGGUGGAAUUUCCUGU
rnacentral:rRNA from 1 species